GGACAAGUUAAAGAGGUCUUGUGGGCGCGAUUCUUGAAGGUUUUCUGUUUCGAGGGUUAUCUGAGUUUAUUCACAGGGAAUCAGAUUUACAUGUCUUCAGGUCGAGAAGAAUUAAGCCGAGCUUAUAGACCAAGAAUCUAGCCCAAGACUGUAGAGAUCGAGUUUCCAGUGCCUAAUAGACUGCCUUAGUCUGCUGAAGCUCCGUUAUCGAUUGCUAGUACGUGUUUCGAGUUGGGCAUAGAGUCUGAUGUGUUAUGAUGUAUAUACACCCUUGUAUGUUAUAGAUACUCCACAGUUUGUAUAAGCUUUAGAAGCUGCAGUUGUGUAAAUUUUUGUUGGUUAUAUUUUGAUUAAGGUGUCUUUAGGUUUACUCGUGAAAUCAGUUAAUUUCGAAGUACACUUCAUGUAUGUGUUUGACUAGCCUAGGAUCCGUUGUGUUUUGUUGCAUGUAUAAUAGUUUAUAUACUAGAUUGGCAAGUUUAUCACAUUAAAGUUUUAAGCAGAGUCGAUAGAUACAGGUAAAGAAAAGCAUGACAGAUAAGCCAAGAGAAAAUAGGUCGGAUUUACACAUCGGGAAACUAGUCCAAGACUGUGAGUGACCAAAACCAGUUUUUAAAAAUAUUUUCUUUCUCCAAAAUAUUAACUAUGGUU